ACCAUCUAUGUAGCAUUCCAAUAUUCUUGAUUGACUCAUAAAUUUCUUUUACAGUUGGCUUGGUCAAGUCAGUGUUCAAACUAUCUCCUGCUCUUUCAAGGGGAUCUGGGGCUCUAGAAGAUUAGAGGACUUGGAGAGGUUAGUGACUUGCUCGAGGUCGGCUAGGAAGCAAGACCCAGGAUUCCAACUCAGGUCUGUGUGAUUCCUCUGCAAAAUGGAGAGGUGGAAGGAUGGAUGUCAGGUCUGAUGGAUGGAUGGAUGCCUACAUCAAGAUACAUGCAUAGAU
ensembl:lncRNA MEG8 maternally expressed 8, small nucleolar RNA host gene